ACGAAGGGGGCUAGCGUUGUUCGGAAUUACUGGGCGUAAAGCGCACGCAGGCGGAUUGAUAAGUCAGGGGUGAAAUCCCGAGGCUCAACCUCGGAAUUGCCUUUGAUACUGUCUAUCUUCGAGUUCGGGAGAGGUUGGCGGAAUUCCUAGUGUAGAGGUGAAAUUCGUAGAUAUUAGGAAGAACACCAGUGGCGAAGGCGGCCAACUG
rnacentral:rRNA from 1 species